rnacentral:rRNA from 1 species
CCAGAGCCAUAUCACCCUGCAGCUCUCGCCUGGUUUCUCACUGAAGCUAAGCAGGGUUGAGCCUGGCCAGUACUGGAUGGAUGGGAGACCUUCUGGGGAACACUACUGCUGGA